rnacentral:rRNA from 1 species
CAGGGAGUGCCUUUCGGGAACUCGGAGACAGGUGCUGCAUGGCUGUCGUCAGCUCGUGUCGUGAGAUGUUGGGUUAAGUCCCGCAACGAGCGCAACCCUUGUCUUUAAUUGCCAGCAUUCAGUUGGGCACUUUAAAGAGACUGCCGGUGUUAAGCCGGAGGAAGGUGGGGAUGACGUCAAGUCCUCAUGGCCUUUAUGCCCAGGGCUACACACGUGCUACAAUGGGUGGUACAAAGAGAUGCCAACUCGCGAGAGCGCGCCAAUCUCAGAAAGCCAUCCUCAGUUCGGAUUGGAGUCUGCAACUCGACUCCAUGAAGUUGGAAUCGCUAGUAAUCGCGGAUCAGCACGCCGCGGUGAAUACGUUCCCGGGCCUU